CCAAUAGCGUAUAUUAAAGUUGUUGCAGUUAAAAAGCUCGUAGUUGAAUUUCGGGGUCAGUAGGUUGGUCGUGCCACCGGUAUGUACUGGUCUCACUGAUUCCUCCUUCCUGAUGAGCCGUAAUGCCAUUAAUUUGGUGUUGCGGGGAAUCUGGACUGUUACUUUGAAAAAAUUAGAGUGUUUAAAGCAGGCUAACGCUUGAAUACAUUAGCAUGGAAUAAUGAAAUAGGACGUUCGAUCUUAUUUUGUUGGUUUCUAGGAUUGACGUAAUGAUUAAUAGGGAUAGUUGGGGGCAUUAGUAUUCAAUUGUCAGAGGUGAAAUUCUUGGAUUUAUUGAAGACUAACUACUGCGAAAGCAUUUGCCAAGGAUGUUUUCAUUAAUCAAGAACGAAAGUUAGGGGAUCGAAGACGAUCAGAUACCGUCGUAGUCUUAACCAUAAACUAUGCCGACUAGGGAUCGGAUGAUGUUAAUUUUUUAAUGACUCAUUCGGCGCCUUACG
rnacentral:rRNA from 1 species